rnacentral:tRNA from 1 species
AGUCCUGUAGUAAAGAUUUUACAUAAGAUUGCAAAUCUUGAGACGGAGAUAGGCUCUCCCGGGGCUU